GGAUAAAAGGUACUCCGGGGAUAACAGGCUGAUACCGCCCAAGAGUUCAUAUCGACGGCGGUGUUUGGCACCUCGAUGUCGGCUCAUCACAUCCUGGGGCUGAAGUCGGUCCCAAGGGUAUGGCUGUUCGCCAUUUAAAGUGGUACGCGAGCUGGGUUUAGAACGUCGUGAGACAGUUCGGUCCCUAUCUGCCGUGGGCGUUGGAAGAUUGAAGGGGGCUGCUCCUAGUACGAGAGGACCGGAGUGGACGAACCUCUGGUGUUCGGGUUGUGUCGCCAGACGCAUUGCCCGGUAGCUAAGUUCGGAAUCGAUAACCGCUGAAAGCAUCUAAGCGGGAAGCGAGCCCUGAGAUGAGUCUUCCCUGAUACUUUAAGUAUCCUAAAGGGUUGUCGGAGACUACGACGUUGAUAGGUCAGGUGUGUAAGUGCUGUGAGGCAUUGAGCUAACUGAUACUAAUUGCCCGUGAGGCUUAACCAU
rnacentral:rRNA from 1 species